UACGGGGGGGAGCAAGCGUUGUUCGGAUUUACUGGGCGUAAAGGGCGCGUAGGCGGCACCGCAAGUCAGUUGUGAAAUCUCUGGGCUUAACCCAGAAAGGUCAACUGAUACUGCGGGGCUAGAGUGCAGAAGGGGCAACUGGAAUUCUCGGUGUAGCGGUGAAAUGCGUAGAUAUCGAGAGGAACACCUGCGGCGAAGGCGGGUUGCUGGGCUGACACUGACGCUGAUGCGCGAAAGCUAGGGGAGCGAACGGG
rnacentral:rRNA from 1 species